CCCGCAGGCUGUCCCACCUCUCGCUGCGCAAUAAUGGCCUCGGUGACGAGGCGGCGCGGCUGCUGGGGCUGAGCCUCUCCACCCUCGGCUCCUCCAACCGCAGCCUGGUCUCGCUGGUGCUCAGCUUCAACCACAUCUCGGAUUUGGGAGCGGGGCACAUCGCCCAGGUGGGGGCUAUGGGGUGGGCGAGGGGGGGCCCCGCUGUCUGUGUGCCCCCCCCCCUUCCCCUCUCAGCUUUUUCUGUGCGCCCCCCAUCCCCAAGGGUUUGCGCUGGAACCGCUCGCUGCUGUCGCUGUCCCUGGCGCACAAUGACAUUGGGGAUGAGGGGGCUCUGCGGCUGGCUCAGGUGGGUUUGGGCCCCCCCGGGUCCGUGUAGGGGAGCGGGAUGGGGUCGGAGCGGGAUGGGAUCAGAGCGGGAUGGGGCUGGGAGUGUGAUGGGGUCGGAGCAAGUUGGGGCCGGAGCAGGUUGGGCUCGGAGCGGGAUGGGGUCGGAGCAGGACAGGGUUGGAGAGGGAUGAGGCUGGAGUGGGAUGGGGUCGGAGAUGGAUGGGGCCAGAGCGGGAUGGAGCUGGAGUGGGAUGGGGUUGGAGUAGGAUGGGGUUGGAGUAGGAUGAGAUCAGAGCAGGAUGGGGUCAGAGUGGGACAGGGUUGGAGAGGGAUAGGGUUGGAGUGGAAUGGGGUCAGAGCAGGAUGGGGCUGGGAGCGGGAUGGGGCCGGAGCAGGAUGGGGAUGGAGCAGGAUCAGAUCAGGGGAGAACGGGAUCAGAGCAGGAUGGGGAUGGAGAGGGAUGGGGUUGGAGUGGAUUGGGGUCAGAGCAGGAUGCGGUUGGAGCAGGACAGGGCCAGAGCGGUAUGGGGUUGGAGCGGGAUGGGAUCAGAGCAGGAUGGGGUCGGAGCAUGACAGGGCUGGAGAUGGAUGGGGUCGGAGUGGGAUGGGAUCAGAGCAGGAUGGGGCUGGGAAGGGGAUGGGGUCAGAGCAGAAUGGGGUCGGAGCAGGAUGGGGUUGGAGCGGGUUGCACUCGGAGUGGGAUGGGGUCAGAAUGGGAUGGGGUUGGAGAGGGAUGGAGCCAGAGCGGGUUGGGGGCAGAGCAGGACAGGGCUGGAGUGGGAUGGGGCUGGAGGAGAGCAGGACGGGAUCGGAGCAGGACGGGGCCGGCCCCAUAACCACAUCCCCGACCCCGCUGGUGCCAGGUGCUGGCUCCUUUCGCUCUGACGCACGCCGAGGUGGUGGAACGGCGGCGGCUGCUGCUGGCGGAGGCCAUGGAGAAGCCCCAGGCGCCCGAGGGCAGGAGCGAGCGCGCCCCGAGCCUGCAGAGCGGCGCGGCCACCGAGAGGCUGCUCCCGGCCAAGCACAGCAAGAGCACGGCCAAAAAGAAGGAGCUGCCGCGGAAGGACGAGCUGAAACAGCCCAAAAAAUGCGCAGGAUGCGGCCGAGCCCUCGCACCCGCUGCUGGAGCCGGCGUGGCACCGCCAGGGCCAGGUCGUGGUGCCGGGGAACCGAGCGCUGCUCAACCUCAACCUGUGCCAUAACCGCAUCACGGAGCGGGGGCUGGCUGCUUUCCUGGCUGUGCUGCAGGAGGAGCAGCCGGGGGGGGGGCACGGGGAGGCCGGGGCUGCUGCGCCUCUCGCUGCAGGUGAGCUGGGGGGGG
rnacentral:lncRNA from 1 species